CAUAAAACAAACGGUCAGACUUUGGGUCGGGGCUGUUUCUAGUAAAAGGGAGUUCCCGUUGUCUUAACUCACCCGGGAUUGUUUGCCGCGAGAGGCAGCCGUUUAAUCUGAAACACAGACAGAAAUAAACUGCGGCCGUGGGUCCCCGCCUGCCUGGGCUGAGCCCGACUUUGACAUUCUAAGCGCUGUGAGUACCGAGUGGCCUGGAUGGCUUGAGGCCAAACGGUAAUGUUUCCUUCUGCUGUUGUUGAGAAAGGCAUUCAGGAAAACACUUGAGCACAAUACGGGCCUUCCUGUUCCGCCAGGCGGGCCUGCGAACCACCCUGCAAACGUGGAGCCAGUGAAUCAUCCCUGAGAAAGGGGAGCUUCCCUCUCCUCUGUCGGAGGCCUUCUCCACGGCAGCCCCGGGCACGCUGCCACGCCGUGGACCCAACGAGCCCCCGUUUUCAAGAACCCAUCUGCCACCUCCCCCGCACCGUGGGAUUCGCCCCACUCGCAAAGUCCGGGUUUCUGCCGGGAAAUGUCACCCACGUGUUUCUCGCUCGGGAAAGGCAUCGGCCGCGAUGCAGCCGAAAUCCUAAGGGGUGCACGGUGGCGUCCUGCUGCAAGCGAUGGAACGUAGAAAGAUGUCAGACGGUCAGUGGUUGGUUGAAGCUCUCUCUCUCGGUCUCCAUCUCUCCCUCUCUCUUCCACCGCCCCGUUCUUCCUCUCUUCCUCCACCCCCCGCCCCCUCCCAUCCCAUCUCUGGGACAGGGGCAUCAUUUUCAGCCGGGAAUGGCAUCCAGACUCUAAAAGAUCCCGCAGAAUAGGACCCAACAGAGGUGUUGAACUUGACAUCAUCCCGCCUUCUCUCUUCUAGGAGUGAGCACACAAGGUCCCUUGACCAAAAGCUAAACCAACGGACAUUCAGUUUUGAAGGGUCACGGGACCUGCCGCUCCAAAAUAUGCCACCGGAGGAUAGCCGUUGUUUCGAGCCGCAGGCGCUUGAACAACAGCAAAGGCAAGGAAAGGCCUUCUCUGAACUCUCAUCUGCCUAAAGACGCAUCCUCCAGGAGCAAGUCAGUUGGUACAAAUUUCUGCCCAGGAAGUUCAUCCCCCGAGGAAGGUGGAGUCUUGUUCCAGGGCAGGACACUGUAGGCGGACCUCACACCCAGGCAAUCUCCAUCCCAAACCAUCUUUUUCCAGAAAUCAUUUACUCUCCCCGAAGAGGCCUGCCUCUUCCCUCCCCUUUUCCCUGUUAAGGUGGUUAUUUAAGCCUAAAUUGUAAGCCGCCUCUCUGAAUUACUCAUUUUCCCUGGGUGUCUCACGUUUAUGUAUGAGGGCUACAUGUUACUGAUAAACUUGUUUUUCUCUUAUUGGUCUUUUGGUCUUUUAUUGCAGGGGUCUCAGCCAAGAGCUCAGGAGGGUAGAGGGAAAUUCAUUUUUUCUCCUGUACAG
rnacentral:lncRNA from 1 species